AGCGGCGGACGGGUGAGUAACACGUAGGCAACCUGCCCCUUGGACUGGGAUAACUACCGGAAACGGUAGCUAAUACCGGAUAAUUCCUCUUAGCUCCUGCUAAGAGGCUGAAAGGCGGAGCAAUCUGUCACCAAGGGAUGGGCCUGCGGCGCAUUAGCUAGUUGGUGGGGUAACGGCUCACCAAGGCGACGAUGCGUAGCCGACCUGAGAGGGUGAACGGCCACACUGGGACUGAGACACGGCCCAGACUCCUACGGGAGGCAGCAGUAGGGAAUCUUCCGCAAUGGGCGAAAGCCUGACGGAGCAACGCCGCGUGAGUGAUGAAGGUUUUCGGAUCGUAAAGCUCUGUUGCCAGGGAAGAACGUCUCCUAGAGUAACUGCUAAAAAAGUGACGGUACCUGAGAAGAAAGCCCCGGCUAACUACGUGCCAGCAGCCGCGGUAAUACGUAGGGGGCAAGCGUUGUCCGGAAUUAUUGGGCGUAAAGCGCGCGCAGGCGGCUGUUUAAGUCUGGUGUUUAAACCAUGGGCUCAACCUGUGGUCGCACUGGAAACUGGGCAGCUUGAGUGCAGAAGAGGAAAGUGGAAUUCCACGUGUAGCGGUGAAAUGCGUAGAGAUGUGGAGGAACACCAGUGGCGAAGGCGACUUUCUGGGCUGUAACUGACGCUGAGCGCGAAGCGUGGGGGAGCAAACAGAUUAGAUACCCUGGUAGUCCACGCCGUAACGAUGAGUGCUAGUGUUAGGGGUUUCGAUACCUGUGC
rnacentral:rRNA from 1 species